GAGGAUCGGCUCGGGGUUGUGCUCGUGCGCUGGAUCGAGGGGGAUGAGACUGGGGAACGCUUCGGAGGGUUGUGAUAAAUAUAGAAUGCGAAGUGGAGCGAAUAUGGCAGAUUAAAAAUUUAAAUACCAUGGUUUCCUCAAGUCACGUUUACGCACAGUCCUAACCGGAUUGCUCACUAUGCUAUGACUGAUGAAUACAUGAGCGGAAACAUGGUUUCAGGGUGUACACA